rnacentral:lncRNA from 1 species
CUUGUCUGUAAAGAGGAAUUGUCCUCAUUAGGAAGGCAUUUUAAUUAAAGCAACUACUUGUGACUUAACAGAAUAUUUUAGCAAACAUGCACUACUUAAAAACAUGUUUAUAUGAGUUCUAAAAUAAUAACUGGGAAAAGUUUACUAGAGAAACUGUACGUAGACAGGUCUAUAACUGCACGUCGCAAAGACUCAUGAAUUUAAAAGUCAGCAAGGCAGGAAUUAACUUCAAACACAAGGUCAACUUAUUUGCUAGUUAGAACAGGGUAAUUGGACAAGCUACAAGUGCUGGGGAUUUUGAUGUGAAACAGGUGAAAAUGGAGAUUUUCAUAAUUGAUAACUAAUUAUUUUCAAUUAGCGUUUGGUAAGCAGGUGCCCUUACCAUAUAAAAGGAGGUGGCAGAGAGAGAGCAUUUUUCCUGCUGCAUGGCUUAUAGGUUGGUGAAGAGUUUUUGUUUAGAGAGAAGCCUUCUGAAAUUACAGAGAAAGGAGAAUACAGACCUACUUCAGGGAGAAGGCAGCUGCUCGGGUCGGUUCUGUUGUGCAGCUCUGGAGAGGAGAAGAUAUUUCUCAUGCUGAGCUACAGGAAGUUGAUGCUGAAAUGCAAUAACAGCAGAUGUUACUGGGAUGCAGUCAUAAAAUGGAGGCAAACGGGCUCUUUGUGACCAGCUCAGGCCACAGCACCGGCGUAUUUCCAGAUGGUGCAGAUGCUAUUUAUAAAGCAUUGCGCAGGGGAUCUGUUACGGGGUGCUUUACAGCCACACUUUGCAGAAGGACACGUCUGCUGUCUCAUCCAUUGAGAAAGACUCUUCCAGAGCAAAAGAGCCACAGGUCAGUGCUGCUGCUCUCAGGGGCAUGCGGUAAGAUAUCCUGUGACUGUAGCGAGGACAAAGGGAGUUGUAAAGAGCAGUUAGGAGAAAAAGCCUCCCUGAUCUGCCCAGUGUCCUGCUUCUCUCUUCGGGAUGGAAUGACAAGUUUCUGUCUGGAUUUUCUCUAG